UUAGUGGCGGACGGGUGAGUAACGCGUGGAAAACCUACCGUAUACUGGGGGAUAACACUUAGAAAUAGGUGCUAAUACCGCAUAAGCGCACAGCUUCGCAUGAAGCGGUGUGAAAAACUCUGGUGGUAUACGAUGGUUCCGCGUCUGAUUAGCUAGUUGGUGGGGUAAUGGCCUACCAAGGCAACGAUCAGUAGCCGGCCUGAGAGGGUGAACGGCCACAUUGGGACUGAGACACGGCCCAAACUCCUACGGAAGGCAGCAG
rnacentral:rRNA from 1 species